AAGAGGACGUGAAACCGGUGGGGUGGAAACGGAUAGAGCCAACGUAUCUGGCCCGCAUUCAGGGGCGAUUACUCCAGUGAUCCCCCCGCACUUGCGGGCAGAGUGCGCCGAGCGGCGCGGGGCGGGAGCGGGAUCGUCGGCGAGAGGCUCCCAUCCGGGAGACCCCCACCGACGGGAAGGCCCUUCGCCCUGCGUCUGCCUUCAGGGUGGCCCACGCACCCCGUUGUCUCCAUUGUCCCGACGGACGCAGUCGCAUGCGACGCGUGUCCGCCGGGGCCAUGGAGGCGGCGGGGCGCCCUCCUGGGCUCGGCGUCAAAGUUGGUCACCUCUCCGACCCGUCUUGAAACACGGACCAAGGAGUUUAGCGUACACGCGAGUCAUUGGGCGGCACACUCAAAGGCGCAGUGAAAGCAAAUUGGUGGGAGGGCGUGCAUCAGUGCGCGCCUGCAGCACCGCCCGGUCCCAAUUGCACGCAGUGGAUCCGAGGAAGAGCGCGUGCGCUGAGACCCGAAAGAUGGUGAACUAUUCCCGAGCAGGACGAAGCCAGAGGAAACUCUGGUGGAAGUCCGAAGCGGUUCUGACGUGCAAUAUCGAU
rnacentral:rRNA from 2 species